UACAGAGGUCCCGAGCGUUGUUCGGAUUCACUGGGCGUAAAGGGUGCGUAGGUAGUGAGGUAAGUCGGAUGUGAAAUCUCCGGGCUUAACCCGGAAACUGCAUUGGAAACUACCUUGCUAGAGGUUUUUGAGGGGGGGACUGGAAUUCUCGGUGUAGCAGUGAAAUGCGUAGAUAUCGAGAGGAACACCGGUGGCGAAGGCGAGUCCCUGGAAAACACCUGACACUGAGGCACGAAAGCUAGGGGGAGCAAACAGGAU
rnacentral:rRNA from 1 species